rnacentral:lncRNA from 1 species
AUUUGCACCGAAAAUGGUUACACCUUUGGUUUGCAUUUCCAUUGCUGCCUUCGAUGGAAUCCUUUCCCAUUGACCCACAUUCGGGUCAUCAAGUGAUGCCCACAUAUGGACAGGAUUCUUGCAAAAAGGACUCGCUACGUCCCGCAUCCUUCGGCCAUUCUCCUCCAGUGCGCACACAUGUCGGUCACCUCCUGCGGGCUCCGCUGCCUCCCCUCCCUUUCUGCGACUCCUGUGGAUUUUGCCUCUUUUCCCAAUCUCCAUCGAGUGGAAAACUUGGCAGCAAUUGGCGACCGGCAGUUGAAGUAUGACUACCUUCUUUCUCGCAAAAAAAAAAAAUAGAUAGUUAAACUUUGCUCUGCUGGGCUAUUGAUGUAUUUCGACUGCUUGCAGUUGGUAUUUACAUUUGCCCAACUAUUUCAUUGUUUGUCCAUUUUGCAGGAUGAAUGUGCUUUGAUUUCGAUUUCAUUGCACACAGGUGCGCACGAGGACAAUUCGGUUCGGUAAAUGCUGUUUGAUCCAGGCAGUCAGUUGUAGUU